AACUUUCAACAACGGAUCUCUUGGUUCUCGCAUCGAUGAAGAACGCAGCGAAAUGCGAUAAGUAGUGUGAAUUGCAGAAUUCAGUGAAUCAUCGAAUCUUUGAACGCA
rnacentral:rRNA from 2 species